UUAGCGGCGGACGGGUGAGUAACACGUGGGUAACCUGCCUGUAAGACUGGGAUAACUCCGGGAAACCGGGGCUAAUACCGGAUGCUUGUUUGAACCGCAUGGUUCAAACAUAAAAGGUGGCUUCGGCUACCACUUACAGAUGGACCCGCGGCGCAUUAGCUAGUUGGUGAGGUAAUGGCUCACCAAGGCGACGAUGCGUAGCCGACCUGAGAGGGUGAUCGGCCACACUGGGACUGAGACACGGCCCAGACUCCUACGGGAGGCAGCAGUAGGGAAUCUUCCGCAAUGGACGAAAGUCUGACGGAGCAACGCCGCGUGAGUGAUGAAGGUUUUCGGAUCGUAAAGCUCUGUUGUUAGGGAAGAACAAGUACCGUUCGAAUAGGGCGGUACCUUGACGGUACCUAACCAGAAAGCCACGGCUAACUACGUGCCAGCAGCCGCGGUAAUACGUAGGUGGCAAGCGUUGUCCGGAAUUAUUGGGCGUAAAGGGCUCGCAGGCGGUUUCUUAAGUCUGAUGUGAAAGCCCCCCGGCUCAACCGGGGAGGGUCAUUGGAAACUGGGGAACUUGAGUGCAGAAGAGGAGAGUGGAAUUCCACGUGUAGCGGUGAAAUGCGUAGAGAUGUGGAGGAACACCAGUGGCGAAGGCGACUCUCUGGUCUGUAACUGACGCUGAGGAGCGAAAGCGUGGGGAGCGAACAGGAUUAGAUACCCUGGUAGUCCACGCCGUAAACGAUGAGUGCUAAGUGUUAGGGGGUUUCCGCCCCUUAGUGCUGCAGCUAACGCAUUAAGCACUCCGCCUGGGGAGUACGGUCGCAAGACUGAAACUCAAAGGAAUUGACGGGGGCCCGCACAAGCGGUGGAGCAUGUGGUUUAAUUCGAAGCAACGCGAAGAACCUUACCAGGUCUUGACAUCCUCUGACAAUCCUAGAGAUAGGACGUCCCCUUCGGGGGCAGAGUGACAGGUGGUGCAUGGUUGUCGUCAGCUCGUGUCGUGAGAUGUUGGGUUAAGUCCCGCAACGAGCGCAACCCUUGAUCUUAGUUGCCAGCAUUCAGUUGGGCACUCUAAGGUGACUGCCGGUGACAAACCGGAGGAAGGUGGGGAUGACGUCAAAUCAUCAUGCCCCUUAUGACCUGGGCUACACACGUGCUACAAUGGACAGAACAAAGGGCAGCGAAACCGCGAGGUUAAGCCAAUCCCACAAAUCUGUUCUCAGUUCGGAUCGCAGUCUGCAACUCGACUGCGU
rnacentral:rRNA from 1 species